rnacentral:lncRNA from 1 species
CGGUUCACAGGACAGUGGGCAGGUGGUUGGCUGUAGGAGCAGUUUGGGUGUGAAUCCAGACCUCAGUGUGUCCCCAGCCCUGUGACCUUGGACAAGCAUCCAGUUUCCCAUCUAUAUAACGGGAAGGCUCCUAACAGCAUCAACCUCCUGGCAGGGCGGGGCAGGCUGUUGUGAAGUUUGAAUGAGGUGAAGCAGGUAGAGUGCUGGGCACAGUGUCUGGGGCUGUGUUUGUGUUAACUGUGAUGACUCACACAGAGAAAAGCCUCCAGCAGACAGUAGAGUCACCGAAAUGACAUAUUUUUCUGUAGGACAAUAAAUGUGCUUAGUUCAAUUGCUGUAGAAAAAAGAGGGUUUCUCCCUCCCAUCCCUGACCCCAGUUCCAGAAGUCCUGGAGGGGUGCACUGUGCCAGCUUCUUAGGAAUCUCGCCACGCCCCCACCCCCACCCCUGCACACCCCCUGUACACACACACUCAGACUCAUACAUACAUUUGUACACACACACGUAUGCACAUGUGUACACACACUCAUAUACACGUAUAAACACAAAUGUAUUGGGAAAAUAAAAUCUCCUGCCACUCCAGAAAAGUUCUCCACAAAGAUAAGAGAGAAAGACGAUAGUUUUGUUAUUGAAGAAGCAUUGAACCAGGCUGCAAUGUCCAUCACAGGCAGUCUGCUAAAGAAGAAAGGGAGCUCCCUUGCACAGCCUGGCAGACACAACCCAUUGCACACACGCUAGUUGUCUUUACCCCAAGGAAAAAUGGAAGUUCUGUCCCCCGACCGGCGGGGAGCUGCUCCAGGCCUUUGACCCUGAGCAGAGGGCGGACAGGCCCCACCCUUCUGGAUGCUGACGUUCGGAAAGGGCUCCUGGGCCUCCAGAAAGCCAGUCUCGGAGAAAAGCUGUAAGAGGCUCAUUUAGCUUUUGAAAAACAUUUACAUAAUCUCAGUGAGACAGAGAGAGUGCCGACAAUUUCAACUUAUCUAAGGGAAAUCCUAAAGCAGGGGAGAGGAUCCUGUCUCCCUUUUUUACACCAGGGAAGAUUCCAUUUCUUUCUUUAUAGAUUUGUAUUACACAAAUUACAAAGCCCACACAUACUCAUUUAUGUAUACACACAUGCUAUACCCAGGCGCACGCGCCCCACAUACACACAUCUGUACAUUUACACAUACUCUCACUCACAGAAACACUCCCAUACUCACGUACAUGCGUGGGCACGCAAAUGUACGCCCGUGUGUACGUAUGCAUGCACGUGGUGUGUGUGUGCUGUGCGUGUUCCAUGGCCUUGUCCACACCGCACAAUGGAACCAGGUCGUGCACUUCCUCCUCUCUUGCCUUUCUCGCUGACCUUGCACCACAGAGCUUGUCUCUUCUCAGCAGAUGGCAGGAAAGGAUAAUGCAGACUCCUAAACUUUUGUGUGCCAAUACUUACCAAGGCGCUUUGUCGAUAGAAAUGCGUUUAACCUUCAGAUCCUAAGAGGUACGUACUUCUGUAGCCUUCUUUUGCAGAGGGGCAACGGAGACUCCGAAAGGCCCAAAGGGCUGCAGCUAGUGCGGCUUCAUGUCUUAGGCAGCAGGGCGCUCCACCGCGUGCGCUCACCAUGAUGGGACAAAUCGGUCUCAACCGGAGGGGCGAGUGAGGAGGCCGACGGAGGGAGCCCUGACCAGAGGUCGGCUGUGUGGGUCUGUGUCUGGUUCAGCCCCCUGCUCCUGGCAUGGCCUUGUGUGAGCCCCUCCCUCCUUGGGCCCGGCUGCCCCUUGUGAUGGGUGAGAUGGCUGGGCCUGUGGGUGUCGGGGCCAUCUCCCAGUUUGCUGGUGCAGCUGCCCCCCACCUGCCAGCCCAUCAGCUCCUGAGAACCCAGGGACACCCAGACUCUCCGGCAGUGGCCUGGGGGUCGCAGGCCCUUUCCCGUAAUUGCGGAGAGCCCAUGGCCUCAGGAGCAUGGAGGGUGUCUGCUAGUUGACCAUAUCUUUUGUCCUUGUCCUCACUCAAGUCCCUUGCCUCCUCUCAUCCUCUCCUUUUAGUGACUCGUUCUGGCUUGGAGUCCAUAUUAUUAUAAUUGGGGCAAACCCUAGACUGGGCUGAGCCACAGAGAAACCUCUGGUCACCUUUCCUCUCUUACUUAACAGUUCAUUUUCUCUGGGGUAAAUAAUUACAUUAUUAUUAUUUUUGUUUUACUUAGUUUUCUAUGUUCUGAAGUUCCUGGAGCAGUGCCUGGACUGGUAGAUACUCAACAAAUGUGUGUUGCAAGAAUGAAGAAACCUUCACAUUGUGUGUGGGGAGGUGGAGAAAUCAUAGUAACAGAAGACGCUGGCUGCUCUUCUAAUCUCUUCAUAGCUCUCAGCGCAUGAGGUCUUCACCACAAUCCUAUGAACAGAUAUGAUUCUCAUCUCUUUUUUUGCAGAUGGGGAAACUGAGGCACAGAGCGGCACUGGAACUGGGGAC